rnacentral:rRNA from 1 species
UAAUAGCGUAUAUUAAAGUUGUUGCAGUUAAAAAGCUCGUAGUCGAAUCUUGGGGUCGGGCAGGCUAUCGGCCUAGUGUCGGAUGGUCAACUCGGCUCUUUCUUUCUGGGGACUGCGUCCCUUUAAUUAGGGGCGUAUGGACGCAGAUCGUUUACUUUGAAAAAAUUAGAGUGUUCAAAGCAAGCCAUCGCUUGAAUACAUUAGCAUGGAAUAAUGGAAUAGGACUGCGGUUCUAUUUUGUUGGUUUCUAGGACCGAAGUAAUGAUUAAUAGGGACAGUUGGGGCCGUUUAUAUUCCGUUGUCAGAGGUGAAAUUCUUGGAUUUACGGAAGAUAAACUUCUGCGAAAGCAUUCGGCAAGGAUGUUUNCAUUG